rnacentral:ribozyme from 14 species
GAAAGAAUAGACGAUGAAAAACAACAACUGUAGUUGGGGUACACAUAGUGCAUGUUGUUGUUGUUGCUCUUUCUUCGUUAUUGUCUUCAUCGUUAUCGUUAUUUUGAUUAUAUUUGUAUAAAUUA